rnacentral:rRNA from 1 species
AGCGAACGCUGGCGGCGUGCCUAACACAUGCAAGUCGAACGUGAAAAGGGGCAACCCUGAGUAAAGUGGCGUACGGGUGAGUAACGCGUAGGUAAUCUACCAAAGAGUCUGGAAUAACCUGCCGAAAGGCGGGCUAAUACUGGAUAGAGCGAUGGAAUCCGUAAUUGGGUUUGUCGGGAAAGGGAGCCUGUAAGGGCCUUCGCUCUUUGAUGAGCCUGCGUCUCAUUAGCUAGUUGGUGGGGUAACGGCCCACCAAGGCAUUGAUGGGUAGCUGGUCUGAGAGGAUGAUCAGCCACACUGGAACUGAAACACGGUCCAGACUCCUACGGGAGGCAGCAGUGGGGAAUCUUGCGCAAUGGACGAAAGUCUGACGCAGCCACGCCGCGUGAGUGAAGAAGGCCUUCGGGUUGUAAAGCUCUGUCGGAAGGGACGAAAAGCUUACGAGUGAAUAGCUCGUGAGCCUGACGGUACCUUUAAAGGAAGCACCGGCUAACUCCGUGCCAGCAGCCGCGGUAAGAC